UACGGGGGGGGCAAGCGUUGUUCGGAAUUACUGGGCGUAAAGGGCUCGUAGGCGGCCAACUAAGUCCGACGUGAAAUCCCCAGGCUUAACCUGGGAACUGCGUCGGAUACUGGAUGGCUUGAAUCCGGGAGAGGGAUGCGGAAUUCCAGGUGUAGCGGUGAAAUGCGUAGAUAUCUGGAGGAACACCGGUGCGAAGGCGGCAUCCUGGACCGGCAUUGACGCUGAUGAGCGAAAGCCAGGGGAGGCAAACGGGA
rnacentral:rRNA from 1 species